AUAGCAGAUGAAUGAAUGAGUGGAAGAUCUUAGGACAUGGUAUAUAAUUUUAGGGCAUAACAUAUGGUUGCUUGGGUUGGAUCUCCAUGAUUUAUCUAGAGAAAGAAACCAAUUGGAGUACUUGAAGAAGGCUGAUUAGGAGGGGAAAAAAGACGCUAGAGUUUGAUGGAGAAGCUGGAUUAGGAGCUUGUGCAUCCCCAUCUUCGGUCUUCUUUGAAAUUAUUGCCAGUGGGGGCCAGCUAAAGAGGUUGGUUAGAGGUGACUAGAUGCAGCAACAUCGCCGAUCUCUCUCAUUCCUUUAUCCUCAUAGGUGGUUCCUUAAAGGCUUAAUUGUAGACUGUACCAUCUCCUCUAUUCGGAGGAAAAAUCAUGAGGAAUUGAGUGGUUUAAUUUGUGAUUUUGAAAAGUUUUAUUUAUUGUUAGUUUUUUAUAAUUCAAGUUAGCAAUUUCUUCCUUCUGCUUUUAAUACAAAUCUAUCUAUGAUCUUGUAUGGUUGUGGCACACCACGGCACUAUUUUGACUACCUGCAAGUUCUAUUUUUUUGGCAACCAAAUAAUUCUUUGAG
rnacentral:lncRNA from 1 species